rnacentral:misc_RNA from 1 species
AACCUAGCACACCUGCGGUGUGUACCUGCGGAAGGAUCAUUAUCGAGUUACCACUCUAUAACCCUUUGUGAACAUACCUACAUGUUGCUUCGGCGGUCGGCCCCCCGGGCCCCCGGCCCCGCUCACGCGGGGCGUCCGCCGGAGGAUAACCAAACUCUGAUUUAACGACGUUUCUUCUGAGUGGCACAAGCAAAUAAUCAAAACUUUCAGCAAUGGAUCU